rnacentral:rRNA from 1 species
AGUGAACGCUGGCGGUAGGCCUAACACAUGCAAGUCGAACGGCCGCACAGUAAGAGCUUGCUCUUACGGGUGGCGAGUGGCGGACGGGUGAGGAAUACAUCGGAAUCUACUUUUUCGUGGGGGAUAACGUGGGAAAACUUCCGCUAAUACCUAAUACGACCAACGGCUGAAAGCAGGAGUGCUUGGACCUUUUGCCGUUUGAUUUAGCCGGUGCCGGGUUGCCUAAUUGGGGGGGUAAAGGCCCCCCAAGGCGACGCACCGAGGCUGGUCUGAGAGGAUGAUCAGCCACACUGGAAAUGAGACACGGUCCAGACUCCUAAGGGAGGCAGCAGUGGGGAAUAUUGGACAAUGGGCGCAAGCCUGAUCCAGCCAUACCGCGUGGGUGAAGAAGGCCUUCGGGUUGGAAAGCCCUUUUGUUGGGAAAGAAAAGCAGCAGGUUAAUACCCCGCUGUUCUGACGGUACCCAAAGAAUAAGCACCGGCUAACUUCGUG